rnacentral:misc_RNA from 1 species
AACGCACAUUGCGCCCGCCAGCAUUCUGGCGGGCAUGCCUGUUCGAGCGUCAUUUCACCCCUCAGGCACUGCCUGGCGAUGGGGCCCCCGGGUCUUGCUUCCCGGGCCCUGAAAUACAGUGGCAGUCUCGUCCACAACCCGAGCGUAGUAAUGCUCUCGCUUAGGGGCUGUGUUCGGGCCUUGCCUUGAACCUUCUAUCAAGAGUUGACCUCGGAUCAGGUAGGAAUACCCGCUGAACUUAA